UAAAAAUCCGGAAGGUUAGGCGCAUUGGUUACUUGGGAAAGCUAAGAAAAAAGUGUUGCAUGGCUGUCUUCAGCUCCCGUUGUGAAAUGUUGGGUUAAGUCCCGCAACGAGCGCAACCCUUAUCCUUUGUUGCCAGCGGUUCGGCCGGGAACUCAAAGGAGACUGCCAGUGAUAAACUGGAGGAAGGUGGGGAUGACGUCAAGUCAUCAUGGCCCUUACGAGUAGGGCUACACACGUGCUACAAUGGCAUAUACAAAGAGAAGCGACCUCGCGAGAGCAAGCGGACCUCAUAAAGUAUGUCGUAGUCCGGAUUGGAGUCUGCAACUCGACUCCAUGAAGUCGGAAUCGCUAGUAAUCGUGGAUCAGAAUGCCACGGUGAAUACGUUCCCGGGUCUUGUACACACCGAA
rnacentral:rRNA from 1 species